rnacentral:rRNA from 1 species
GAUGAACGCUAGCUACAGGCUUAACACAUGCAAGUCGAGGGGCAGCAUGAAAGGAACUUCGGUUCUUUUUGAUGGCGACCGGCGCACGGGUGCGUAACGCGUAUCGAACCUGCCUCAUACUCGGGGAUAGCCUUGCGAAAGUAAGAUUAAUACCCCGGCGGUCUCGGAUGGCCGCAUGACUGUCCGAGUGAAGAUUUAUCGGUAUGAGAUGGCGAUGCGUCCCAUUGGCUAGUUGGUGAGGUAACGGUUCACCAAGGCAUCGAUGGGUAGGGGUUCUGAGAGGAAGGUCCCCCACAUUGGAACUGAGACACGGUCCAAACUCCCACGGGAGGCAGCAGUGAGGAAUAUUGGUCAAUGGACGAAAGUCUGAACCAGCCAAGUAGCGUGCAGGACGACGGCCCUCUGGGUUGUAAACUGCUUUUAGUUGGGAAUAAAAAGAGGGACGUGUCCCUUAUUGUAUGUACCAUCAGAAAAAGGACCGGCUAAUUCCGUGCCAGCAGCCGCAGUAA